UUUAGUCCAAUCUGAAAUACAGAGAGGACAAUUGUCCUUUGAGUUUAAUAGAGCUGUCUCUCUUUGAUAUUCACAGGGCUGGAGCAGCUCUAUGCAUUUGUUCUUGUUUUUGUCUUGACUUAAGGCUGUUUGAGAGAUGCUCAUGUCAGAGAGAGAAGAGCCAUGGCUGAUGUCUGUUGGACUUGAUGGUUUUAGAGUUCUUUUCCAACCCAAAUGAUCCCAUGAUUCAACUGUAUUUAUUGCCAGCGUUAGACAAGGGGUAACAGAAUUAGGAUUUAAAAAGUAAUCAUAAGAUACCUGGGGAAGCAGCAAAGCUAUGGACAUGGGGGAACUCAUCUUCACACCCACCUAUAAAUUCCUGCUCAUGUUCUCAGGUCGUGUACCUGCUGGGAAGUGGGAAAGUGAAGGUGCCUCUAGCAAUGGUAGGACAGAGCAGUGAGGUUUGGGACUUCUCCCCUCUGCAGGGCUUAGCAGCACGAUCACAGGGAACCUGUGAGACUGGCUUGCAAAUGCCCCAGCUGUCCUCCAUCUCUCACACCUGCACACAUUUAUCCCAUAAUUCUUCACUUCGUUUGCUGCUGCUGCUGCCGGUGGUGGGAGAGAAAUUCCGACCAGCAUCUCUGGGGUCGUCCUUUAUCGUCAGAGGAAAACGGUUCGACAAAGAUAAGCAGGAAAAUAACUUCUCGGGGGAAUGGCUGAUGUCCUUCCAGGAGAAAGGCACUGCAGAAAAAAUCAAGCUUUCCUUACCGAUGGGACCCAUCUAAGUGUAUUGCACAAAUGAAGAUUGUUUUCCUGAAAGAGAGGUGCCUUUCCUCCAAGCAUCACACCAAGCCUGCUGACAUCCACUGUCAGAGUUGUGUGAGCAGCUGAGGCUUUUCCCACGGAGCACUGCCACUGCAAGCCAGCAGUGGGGCUGAUGGGACAAGAAACAUCAUGCAGUCAGUCAUGGUCUGCUUUUGGGAGGAGGAAGUAAUGAAAUCUGUAGUCUCCAGGAGUGUCUGCCACUAGCUGUUCUGUUCUGUUUUGCCAUGUGAAUCUGAACACCUGGCUGUUGGGCUUUCUGCUUUUGUAGCCCAUGUAAUCCAGGGGCAGAACAGCAUCCAGGCAAGCUGCAAAAGCAGUUGUGCAGCAGACUGGUGAGGUGCUGUGCCUGGGGCAGAGCCAGAGUCUUACCAAAGGGGAGUGCAAAAAGUUGCCUCUCUUUUCAGGAGACAGGUAGCAGUCAUGGAAAUGGAAUUUAAGUGCAAGUGGGCUUCAGCCUUGGAACUGUGGUGUGUGAGAGUUUAUAAGUAAGUAACCAAAAACUUUCAGGGCUGUACUGCUCUCUAACUGGGCUUUCAAGGUGGAUCCUGGCAACCCUGAGCCUGAUCAUAGAGACCGUUCCCUUCUGUGGUGAAUUUUAAUGGCUAGAGCUGGAAAGUCCCCACUGACUUCAGGUGUAAGUAGGUACCUGAGUGCCUUUGUGGUUCAGGAUUUUGGGUGCUGGCAAUGGAGCUCACUCCACAGGGAACACACAUGGGCUGCAGCUGCUGACUGCUGUCCUGCUGGCAGCCAUGGGAACUAUCCAUACCCUGCUACUUGGCCUGUCACUGAUAACAUUUCAUCUCUAUUGGGAAACUGGUUGAAAAUGGAGUGGGUGAUGAGUGCUCUGUUAGCUCAGAGCACAGGCUAUCA
rnacentral:lncRNA from 1 species